GACGAACGCUGGCGGCGUGCCUAAUACAUGCAAGUAGAACGCUGAAGCUUGGUGCUUGCACCGAGCGGAUGAGUUGCGAACGGGUGAGUAACGCGUAGGUAACCUGCCUGGUAGCGGGGGAUAACUAUUGGAAACGAUAGCUAAUACCGCAUAAAAUUGAUUAUCGCAUGACAAUCAAUUGAAAGGUGCAAAUGCAUCACUACCAGAUGGACCUGCGUUGUAUUAGCUAGUUGGUGGGGUAACGGCUCACCAAGGCGACGAUACAUAGCCGACCUGAGAGGGUGAUCGGCCACACUGGGACUGAGACACGGCCCAGACUCCUACGGGAGGCAGCAGUAGGGAAUCUUCGGCAAUGGACGGAAGUCUGACCGAGCAACGCCGCGUGAGUGAAGAAGGUUUUCGGAUCGUAAAGCUCUGUUGUAAGAGAAGAACGAGUGUGAGAGUGGAAAGUUCACACUGUGACGGUAUCUUACCAGAAAGGGACGGCUAACUACGUGCCAGCAGCCGCGGUAAUACGUAGGUCCCGAGCGUUGUCCGGAUUUAUUGGGCGUAAAGCGAGCGCAGGCGGUUAGAUAAGUCUGAAGUUAAAGGCUGUGGCUUAACCAUAGUACGCUUUGGAAACUGUUUAACUUGAGUGCAAGAGGGGAGAGUGGAAUUCCAUGUGUAGCGGUGAAAUGCGUAGAUAUAUGGAGGAACACCGGUGGCGAAAGCGGCUCUCUGGCUUGUAACUGACGCUGAGGCUCGAAAGCGUGGGGAGCAAACAGG
rnacentral:rRNA from 1 species